rnacentral:lncRNA from 1 species
CUCUUGUGCUAACACUUACUGGAUGCUCUGUCCCUGCAGGCUGUCUGGGGCUCACCACUGGGAGGAACCUCUCUGACCCCUAAAGCUCCCAGGAAUUCCCUGGGGAGAACUCAUCUGACUGGAAAGGAACCAACAGUGUCCUGGAGAUCAGGAGAAACAGGCCAAAAAGCUGUUGAUUUCCAGUCACAAAGGGAGGCAGAACCCCCAUUUUCCCCAGAGCUAUUUGCUGCCAGCAGAUCUUUCUAAGCCCUUGGGGAAAGGAGAAAGAGACAAGCAGAGAUUUGCUGCUCAGAGUCUACUUGGAGAACAGGAGCAAAGGGCAAGUGUGUGUCUGCCUCAGGGCACCUGUGGGGGUGGGUAGGGGAGGCCCUCUGAUCCUGACUGAAGCAAGUAGGCUGAGUGGAAAUACCCAGCCAUUAGUUAGGGAUCACUUUGGAGGUCCUGAAGGUCUCAUCCUCCUGCUCUGGCCUCAUGCUGGGUGUUCCAGGAGGAUGGCUCCCUCCCAGACAAGCUUCUCACCCCCAGGCUCAGCUCCUAUCCUGGAAGAGGAAGGAAAGGCAUCUUUGCCCCUUCUGGGAUCCUGCUCCUUCCUAGCUCAGUCUGCUGAGGACCAAGGUCUGGCCCAAGAAGAGGCAGGCAGAAUGGCCCCUGGGAAGCCCAGAACCUCCUCCCUGGUAAGUGCAGUCUGCCCACACACUUGACCAACAUCAGCCCAUCAGGCCAUUUCUGUAAACUCAGAAGAUUGUCCAGAAGUCAGCAGUACCGUAGGGGUGGAUCGUUUCUUUACAAAAAUAGGCAUGAAGUUGAGUAGACCAAUAACAACACUGCCCUGCUCACUUUUCUUUGAAACUGAUAAACAUUCCCUCCCCCUCCCCCAAAUUGCCCCACCCCACCAUAAUUUGGUUUCAUUACACCUGACUGACAAGGACAGACACUUCACUCAUUGGAGUGGAUGGAGGGAUCAUUUCUUUGUUCUUUUUUUGCUUGCCUAGUAUCCCCCUGUCCCCACUAUGCCCAAUUUCUCUCCCUCCCUCCCCUUUGUUUCUUUGGACCAAGUUCUCCCUGUGGUGCCUGUAAAAAAUAGACUCGAAUACAGGACUACAAUCCCCAUGAGCCUUUGCUCCACUUCCCUAGAAUGCCUUGUAAUCUCACCUGGGCCGAGAUCGAGAAGAUAUUUAAGCAAAGGCUUUUGAAGGGCUCGGCCUUUUUUUUUGGACUUCCGCGUUUGGAGCAGAGGCGUCUCUUCCAUGAUGUGAGAUUAUUUUGUCUAGGCCUCUGGCCUAGGCACAUGUUUCUUACUUGUAUAUUCUUAAUCUUUAACUUUUAAUAAACCUCUAAAAAAUAUAUAUUCCUUGCA